UACAGAGGUCUCAAGCGUUGUUCGGAUUUAUUGGGCGUAAAGAGCUCGUAGGCGGCUUGUCGCGUCGGCUGUGAAAUCCCGUGGCUCAACUGCGGGUCUGCAGCCGAUACGGGCAGGCUAGAGUUCGGUAGGGGAGACUGGAAUUCCUGGUGUAGCGGUGAAAUGCGUAGAUAUCUGGAGGAAUACCGGUGGCGAAGGCGGCAUCCUGGACCGACAUUGACGCUGAUGAGCGAAAGCUAGGGGAGCAAACGGG
rnacentral:rRNA from 1 species